ensembl:lncRNA
GUUUGGUGUCUGACUCAGGAGACAUUUUAAAUCAUAUACAGACUUGAAUACAGAGGAGCACAGAGCGGACAAACACAGGAAAACUAAUGCUAUUCUUGCUUCAGAUUUUCUGUUGCAUUUUUUGUGUCAUGUGCAUAUCACUGGGCAUUGAACAGAAGCCUGGAAAGUUGUCAGGAGUCUCAGUGCAGCUUGGGAGAAGAAAGAGACAAGCUGGAAGAAUGCCCAGAUGUGGAUGGGAGAAUGGAGGUCCAGGUUUUCCCCUAUUUCACAGCUACCUCUUCAGGAGGUUGGAUUUAAAAAAAUGUUCCUCUGAGACUGAUGAAGCCAUUACCAAUAGCUUAUCCAGCUGCAAUGUCACAGGACAGCUGAAGGUGCUACUGUAUUGAACAGAAAUGAAAAGACAGAUGUCUGUGAUUGGAUAGCAGCAUACUAAUUACUGCACAGGAAGAAGGAAAACAAGAGAAACAUUUCCAUCCAGAGAGCCAAGCCAGUUAUGCUUUCUUGGACUUCUAGCCACAGAUGACUGUAGCAUUACGAGGAUUUUAAGCUGCAAUCUCCUGACAAUAACUGAAAAUCUUAGCUAAACCACUUAGGUGACGGUUCCCACUUGUUUUGCUCACAUUCUUCUUUAUUCUUGUGAAUGUCAACAGUCACAUUAUCAAUAAAGACAAUUGAACAAGCAGA